rnacentral:rRNA from 1 species
CAUGCAGUCGAGGGGCAGCAUGGUCUAGCAAUAGACUGAUGGCGACCGGCGCACGGGUGAGUAACACGUAUCCAACCUACCGGCUAUUCCGGGAUAGCCUUUCGAAAGAAAGAUUAAUACCGGAUAGUAUAGCGAGAAGGCAUCUUCUUGCUAUUAAAGAAUUUCGAUAACCGAUGGGGAUGCGUUCCAUUAGUUUGUUGGCGGGGUAACGGCCCACCAAGACAUCGAUGGAUAGGGGUUCUGAGAGGAAGGUCCCCCACAUUGGAACUGAGACACGGUCCAAACUCCUACGGGAGGCAGCAGUGAGGAAUAUUGGUCAAUGGACGAGAGUCUGAACCAGCCAAGUAGCGUGAAGGAUGACUGCCCUAUGGGUUGUAAACUUCUUUUAUAUGGGAAUAAAGUGAGCCACGUGUGGCUUUUUGUAUGUACCAUACGAAUAAGGAUCGGCUAACUCCGUGCCAGCAGCCGCGGUAAUACGGAGGAUCCGAGCGUUAUCCGGAUUUAUUGGGUUUAAAGGGAGCGUAGGCGGACUAUUAAGUCAGCUGUGAAAGUUUGCGGCUCA